UUAAAUAUGGGAAGUUUUACUUUCUGUAUUACAGCUAACGCGUUAAACAUUCCGCCUGGGGACUACGGUCGCAAGAUUAAAACUCAAAGGAAUUGACGGGGACCCGCACCAGCGGUGGAGCAUGUGGUUUAAUUCGAUGCAACGCGAAAAACCCUUACCACUCCUUGACAUGGAAAAUUAUACCUAUUCGAAGGGAUAGGGUCGGUUCGGCCGGGUUUCACACAGGUGUUGCAUGGCUGUCGUCAGCUCGUGUCGUGAGAUGUUGGGUUAAGUCCCGCAACGAGCGCAACCCUCAUCCUUAGUUACCAUCAGGUAAUGCUGGGGACUUUAAGGAGACUGCCAGUGAUAAACUGGAGGAAGGUGGGGAUGAUGUCAAGUCAUCAUGGCCCUUAUGGAGUGGGCUACACACGUGCUACAAUGGUGGCUACAAUGGGCUGCAAAGUCGCGAGGCUAAGCCAAUCCCUUAAAAGCCAUCUCAGUUCGGAUUGUACUCCGCAACUCGAGUGCAUGAAGUUGGAAUCGCUAGUAAUCGUGGAUCAGCACGCCACGGUGAAUACGUUCUCGGGUCUUGUACACACUGCCCGUCACGCCAUGGGAAUUGGUUUCACUCGAAGCUAACGACCUAACCGCAAGGAGGGAGUUAUUUAAAGUGGGAUCGGUGACUGGGGUG
rnacentral:rRNA from 1 species